GACGUAGGGCGCGAGCGUUGUCCGGAUUUAUUGGGCGUAAAGAGCUCGUAGGCGGUUUGUCGCGUCUGCUGUGAAAUUUCGGGGCUCAACCCCGAACUUGCAGUGGGUACGGGCAGACUAGAGUGUGGUAGGGGAGACUGGAAUUCCUGGUGUAGCGGUGAAAUGCGCAGAUAUCAGGAGGAACACCGAUGGCGAAGGCAGGUCUCUGGGCCAUAACUGACGCUGAGAAGCGAAAGCAUGGGGAGCGAACAGG
rnacentral:rRNA from 1 species